CUGGCCGCAGCCUGCUGCCUGGGCAUGCUCCAGAAGGAGGUAUCUAAGGAUGGACAGAGACUGAGCCUGGGGUGAGGGCAGCAGGAGGGUCCUGGCAGUUCCCGCCACCUGGGCGACGGAGAUGAAGAGGACCGAGGAGCCAGGUGACAGGAGCUGAGGCCAGAAGGACAGCGCUGAUGGCCAGAAACAAACUAUCUUGUCUCCAGCCCAGCGAUUUUCAAUGUGAGGAAGGGGAGGAAAGGAACCUCUUUGAUUAACCCCCCCCCACCCCCAUACUCAGAGAUGCUACGAGAAGACACAAGCACUGAAGCUGUCCGCUGCCUGGAGUAGCAGGUCUCACCCACCUCCUUGGUCCCCUAAGCCCCGUUCUGGUGCACAGCGCCUCCUGACGUUGUACACCCACCAACAUCCUCAAGUUCUGGGGGUCAACUUGAGUCUCCAGGAGCUCUGGCAGCCCCCACCCUCUGGGGAAGGGAAUGAGGGGCACAGCACAGGGGUGAGGGAGGAGAGUGGGGAGCCUGAUGUCCCGGGAGCAGGAUGGAGGGGCUCUCCCUGCACCCCGGCCUUCGCCCCGUAGUCCCAGCCUCUCCAGCCCCGGCCGCGGCCUUGCCCGGGCUUGCCUGUCAUGGCAUCAUCAUUGCUGGCCCCGCCCGGAGCCUGAGGAGUGAGCCGCCCACUCACCACGGAAAAAACAGCUAAUUACCUCACGGAGACCCCGAGCCAAAGCACUCGGGCGUUUUCAGCGGGUCCAGCCUGUUUCCACCUGGCUUUGCGUGAAUGUUUCUUUUAAAAAACUAAUAAUAAUAACAACUCCUAACCAGGAAAAGCAAUUUUUUUUUUGCUUGGGGGUAUGGGGUGCUGUGGAAGUAUGAGUUCUGUUCCAGGGGUCACCUCCCCAGCCCUCUUUCCUGAGAAACCUCAAACCAAGACAUUUGACACCCCUCCC